rnacentral:rRNA from 1 species
GACGAACGCUGGCGGCGUGCUUAACACAUGCAAGUCGAACGGAAAGGCCCUGCUUUUGUGGGGUGCUCGAGUGGCGAACGGGUGAGUAACACGUGAGUAACCUGCCCUUGACUUUGGGAUAACUUCAGGAAACUGGGGCUAAUACCGGAUAGGAGCUCCUGCUGCACGGUGGGGGUUGGAAAGUUUCGGCGGUUGGGGAUGGACUCGCGGCUUAUCAGCUUGUUGGUGGGGUAGUGGCUUACCAAGGCUUUGACGGGUAGCCGGCCUGAGAGGGUGACCGGCCACAUUGGGACUGAGAGACGGCCCAGACUCCUACGGGCGGCAGCAGUGGGGAAUAUUGCACAAUGGGCGGAAGCCUGAUGCAGCAACGCCGCGUGCGGGAUGACGGCCUUCGGGUUGUAAACCGCUUUCGCCUGUGACGAAGCGUGAGUGACGGUAAUGGGUAAAGAAGCACCGGCUAACUACGUG